AUUGAACGCUGGCGGAAUGCUUUACACAUGCAAGUCGAACGGCAGCACGGACUUCGGUCUGGUGGCGAGUGGCGAACGGGUGAGUAAUGUAUCGGAACGUGCCCAGUCGUGGGGGAUAACGUAGUGAAAAUUACGCUAAUACCGCAUACGAUCUAUGGAUGAAAGCGGGGGAUCGCAAGACCUCGCGCGAUUGGAGCGGCCGAUAUCAGAUUAGGUAGUUGGUGGGGUAAAGGCCCACCAGGCCAACGAUCUGUAGCUGGUCUGAGAGGACGACCAGCCACACUGAAACUGAGACACGGUCCAGACUCCUACGGGAGGCAGCAGUGGGGAAUUUUGGACAAUGGGCGAAAGCCUGAUCCAGCCAUUCCGCGUGCAGGAUGAAGGCCCUCGGGUUGUAAACUGCUUUUGUACAGAACGAAAAGGUUUCUACUAAUACUAGGAGCUCAUGACGGUACUGUAAGAAUAAGCACCGGCUAACUACGUGCCAGCAGCCGCGGUAA
rnacentral:rRNA from 1 species